rnacentral:rRNA from 1 species
GCCAAUGCUAGCCCUAAGCACAACCAACACUAAUACCAAGCCAACACACACUAAACCAUUUACCUACACAAAGUAUAGGCGAUAGAAAUUUUAAUCUGGCGCUAUAGACACAGUACCGUAAGGGAAAGAUAGAAAACCACCCAAGCACAAAACAGCAAGGACUAACCCCUGUACCUUUCGCAUAAUGAAUUAGCUAGAAACAAUUUCACAAAGAGGACUACAAGCCAAAUCCCCCGAAACCAGACGAGCUACCCAAAAACAGCUAAAAGAGCGCACCCAUCUAUGUGGCAAAAUAGUGGGAAGAUUUCUGGGUAGAGGUGAAAAGCCUACCGAGCCUGGUGAUAGCUGGUUAUCCAAGACAGAAUCUUAGUUCAACCUUAAGCUUACCUAUAGAACUACCUAAUCCCCCUGUAAGCUUAACUGCUAGUCUAAAGAGGGACAGCUCUUUAGACACUAGGAAAAAACCUUACGGAGAGAGUAAAACCCUCAAUCACCAUAGUUGGCUUAAAAGCAGCCAUCAAUUAAGAAAGCGUUCAAGCUCAACACUAACCACCACAAAAAUACCAAACACAUAACUGAACUCCUCACACCACAUUGGAUUAAUCUAUCACCAUAUAGAAGCAAUAAUGCUAGUAUAAGUAACAUGAAUAUUUUCUCCACCGCAUAAGCCUAAAUCGGACCGAAAGCCUCACCGAUAUCUAACAGCCAGGCAUAACAAGCACAAACAAGCCCAUGCCACCUUCACUGUUAACCCAACACAGGCAUGCCUCAAGGAAAGGUUAAAAAAAGUAAAAGGAACUCGGCAAACUCAAACCCCGCCUGUUUACCAAAAACAUCACCUCUAGCAUUACUAGUAUUAGAGGCACUGCCUGCCCAGUGACACACGUUUAACGGCCG